rnacentral:rRNA from 1 species
CUAAUGCAUAUGGUGGAUGCCUUGGGUCUUCGCGCCGAUGAAGGAGGUGCUAAGCUGCCAUAAGCCUCGAGGAGCUGCUACGAAGCGUUAUUACUCGGGGAUUUCCGAAUGGGGAAACCCAGCCCGCUGAUAAGGCGAGGUUACUAAUUGCUGAAGGCUGCGCAAGCGGUUAUAGGCAAUUGAGAGGGAACUCGGCGAACUGAAACAACUUAGUAGCCGGAGGAAAAGAGACCAAGUUAGGUAUUCUCCUAGUAGCGGCGAGCGAACGGGGAACAGCCCAAACCCAUUUUGUUCUUAGAAAGGAUUGGCGGUGUAAGCCGACAGUCCAAAUCUUUGAACAAAGUAUAUGGGGGUACAGACAACCCUAGUGUUAAAUCACAAAAGAGUGUAGAAAAUUUUUCCGUAGGAGAAGCUAUCUGGAAAGUUACGCCACAGAAGGUAACAGCCCUGUAUCCGAAACGGGAAAAUCUCUUGGGUUGAUCUUGAGUAGCACGGGACACGUGUAACCCUGUGUGAAUAAGCGACGUCCACGUCGUAAGGCUAAAUACGCGAAGACACCGAUAGCGCAUAGUACCGUGAGGGAAAGGUGAAAAGAACCCCUGUUAGGGGAGUGAAAUAGAUACUGAAACCGUAUGCAGACAAGCUGGCAAAGCCCGCAAGGGUAAUGCCGUGCCUAUUGAAGAAUGAGCCAGCGAGUUAAUAAAUUGGGCGAGCUUAAGCCGUGUUUGCGGCGAAGGCGUAGGGAAACCGAGUCUUAAAAGGGCGCUUAGUCCAUUUUAUUAGACCCGAAGCCAGGUGAGCUAACCAUGGCCAGGAUGAAACCCUGCGAAAUCAGGGUGGAGGUCCGAACCGUUGUGUGAGGAAAAACGCUCGGAUGAGCUGUGGUUAGGGGUGAAACGCUAAACGAACUUGGCGAUAGCUGGUUCUCCCCGAAAUAUAUUUAGGUAUAGCCCUUGUUAUACAACUUUGCGAGGUAGAGAUACUGAAAGGGGAUGGGGCGCGCAAGUGUACCCACUCCUACCAAACUCCGAAUGCGCAAAGUGUUCCAAGGAGUCAGUGCUGCGGGGAAAUCUCGUGGCACAAAAGGGAAACAACCCGGACCAUCAGCUAAGGUCCCUAAAUUAUGCUUAGUGGGCAAGGAAGUGAGAUCGUUAAGACAGCUAGGAGGUUGGCUUAGAAGCAGCCACCCUUUAAAGAUAGCGUAACAGCUCACUAGUUGAACGAUUUCGCGCCGACGAUUUAACGGGGCUCAAGCAUAAUACCGAAGCUAUGGAUUUGCUGUUGCAGCAAUGUUUCAGCAAGUGGUAGGGGAGCUUUGAUGCAGCUGUGAAGGUGUACCCGUGAGGGAUGCUGGAGCGGCAUCAAGUGAGAAUGCUGGCAUGAGUAACGAGAGAAUGGUGAAAACCCAUUCCGCCGAAAACCUAAGGGUUCCUCCGCUAUGUCAGUCAUCGGAGGGUUAGUCGACCCUAAGGGGAGGCCGAAAGGCGUACCCGAUGGAUAGCAGGUUAAUAUUCCUGCACUUCUGUAAGAUCGUUAUCACCGAGGGGAGGACGGAGCAUGAUGGACCAAGCUCAUUAAGGAUUUGAGUCCCAAAAGCAAGGCAGUCUGUGUAGGCAAAUCCGCACAGGCGUUACGUCGAGCUUAGGGAAAGUCUGCCGCAAGGCGGAUAAUUUGGUGCCACGCAAGCUUCCAGGAAAAGUCUCUAGGGAGAUCUUGCAGAAUUCGUACCGCAAACCGACACAGGUAGGUGGGUAGAGAAUACUAAGGCGAACGAGCGAAUCGUGGUUGAGGAACUAGGCAAAUUACAUCCGUAACUUCGGGAAAAGGAUGCCCUGCCACGAGCCUGCGAAAGCAGGAAGUAGGUAGGGGGCACAAAAAUGGCUCAAGCGGCUGUUUAACAAAAACACAGGUCUCUGCUAAACCAGUAAUGGGAUGUAUAGGGGCCGACGCCUGCCCAGUGCCCGUAGGUCAAGGCCGGGGGUGAUUUCCAACUUAGGUUGGAAUGAGCUUUUGGUUUAAGCCCGGGUGAACGGCCAGCAGUAACUAUGAAGAAGUCGUAGUUGAGAGCAUCUUCGUUGCAUGAAGCAGCGAAUAGUCGAUGCUCCCUUGAACCGUGAAGGUUUAAGGAAAAACUUGGCCAUAUGCUGGAAUAUCCGUCCAUGCUUUUACAAAAGACAUGGUGUCUCUAAUUUCAUUAGAAAAAAGAAUCUUGGGCUACUAGCUAUAUUCGUAUAUUAUUCGGGUAUGUCUAGUAAAAAUGUACCAAGUGCGGACAAUCAGCAGGAAAGUUUCCAAGGACUAGGUUAUUACAUUGCAGGUUUUGUUGACGGGGAAGGAAGUUUUAAUGUUUCUCUCCGACGUAAGAACGACUAUCGUAUUGGAUGGCAAAUAGUGUUAAGUUUUAACAUUUCUCAAAAAGAUUUAACCGUUUUGAGAAUAAUCAAAAACACACUGAAUUGCGGGAUCAUAAAAACAAGAAAAUGCGAUGGUUUAUAUUCUUACGAUGUUACAAAGCCAAAAGAUAUAAUAACCAAGGUUAUACCUUACUUCGAUGCCUUCAGAUUUCUCUCUUCAAGUAAACAGAGGAAUUACGAGCUUUUUAAGGAAAUUAGCUUCAUCGCUAAUAAAAAGCCCUUAAACUCGCAAUCCUUUUACGAAAUUCUUAAGAUUAGAGAGAAGUUGAAUGAGGGGAGGGGUAGAAAGCGAAAAUACUCCAUUGAAGAUGUCUUCGGAAAAUCCUCAGAGACUAUACGCCAGGUCUCACGUGAAAGUGAGAAUGAUAUAGUCCGACCUGUGUGGCGACACACAGAGUCCCACAGAAAUGUUGGGACCCUUCCGCUUUAAAGAGGCGGAUGAGUAACAAUCGUGAACUGUUCUAUGGUUUAAAUCGCUGCCAUAGUAAAAUUCGGCUAUAUGCUGGAAACUCCGAGAAUCUGGAAGUACCGCUCAUCGCGGUGAAAAUCUUGCCAGUGCGGACAAUCAGCAGGAAAGGCUCGCUUAUCUAGGCGAGAAUCCUCACAGACUACACGCCGGACUCCCCUCGAACUCGAUGGAGAAGAUAUAGUCGCAUCUGCAUGGCGACAUGCAGCGGUGGCAUUGACAGGGUGCUACCUGGAUUCGCAAUUUGCGAAGAAGAUAGGAUUUGAGCGUAAUCCCUUGUCGGGUAAGUGGAAAUACGAGCCCGUAUCGGCUUAAUAACGGAAAAGCUUUGGUAAUGUGUUCAUAGGGAGCACACGUGCAAAUUUCCAAUGCAAUUCCGUGGGAAGUUUUCUAACUUUGUUAGAAACCCCCGUAUCGACUGAUUCUUCGGUGCGAUCUAUCAUCCGAAGAUGAGAUGUAAAUCUUUUGUUUCAACCUCGUUGAGCAAAAAUCUUAGAUUACAUCACACGCCGACUCCUUAAUUUAAGAUUUAAGGAUGAAGAUAUAGUCAGCGCCAAUAGUGAUAUUGGAUAUAACGUGAAGUUCCGACCCGCACGAAAGGCGUAACGACUUGAGCACUCUCUUAAUCACGAGCUCGGUGAAAUUGAACUACCGGUGAAGAUGCCGGUUACUCGUUGUUGGACAAAAAGACCCCGUGGAGCUUUACUGUAGCUUGGUAUUGGUAAUCGGUGUUAGAUGUGUAGCGUAGGAGGGAGAUCCAUACUUGUAUGUAUCGCCAAUGAAACACCUCUCUUCUGGCUCUGAGAGCCUUACUGCCCUGCAUGACCUGCAGGGAGGACAAUGCCUGGCGGGCAGUUUAUCUGGGGGCGGAUUCCUGCUAAAAGAUAACGCAGGAGCCCAAAGGUUCUCUUAGCGCCGAUGGAAAUGGCGCUGUAAGCGUAAAGGUAUAUGAGAGCUUGACUGCGAGACCUACAAGUCGAGCAGAUACGAAAGUAGGGCUUAGUGAUCUUCCGUGUGCCUAGUGGUAGGCCCGGAACUUAUCGGAUAAAAGUUACCCCGGGGAUAACAGGCUGAUCUUGCCCGAGCGUCCAUAGCGGCGGCAAGGUUUGGCACCUCGAUGUCGUCUCGUCACAUCCUGGAGCUGGAGCA